ensembl:lncRNA
UACAAACAUAAGUGACUGGAUAUUUUUUUAAAAAGCAUUUCACCAAGAGAUUUCUGGAAUUAACUUAUUGUGUGACCUUCAGAAGUCCUUUAACUAUUUUGAGGCUUUGUUUCUUCAUCUAUGAAAUAAGGGGAUUGGAGUCAAUAACGCUUUACAGUCUUAUCAGCUCUUGAUAUUCUCUGAGCAUAUGCUUCUGCUAGCUAGGAGAAUAUCAACGUAAUGGGACACUGUAAUGUAUUAAUUUCUUUGCUCUGGUGGCUGAAGGAGAAUCUCAGGAAAAACAAAUAAGUAGAAUGGACAAACUUGUUUUGUGUUGUUCGGGCCUCAUUUGUCUUAAGGUAUACUAAUGGAUUUUAUGUUUCAGAGUAUCAAAGAAGUUAACAGCACCCCUGAAGAUUAUCCUCAACCAAGCUUAUAUAUAGUAAAAGCCAUUGGCUCAUUGACAAUAAUUCAUCAAAGUAUAGAAGAGGAAAAGAUGUAUUGAGAAGUAUUGAUGCUUUGAGUUUAAUGAAGAAGUUCCCCAAGAUGAAGAGAGAUGAAAUUUGAGAGUGGGGAUGGAUUUCCUGAUUGACAGGGACCUGUUCAGUUGCAGUACCUAUGGUGAGACAGAAAACGUAGAGAAUGGUGGAGUGUUAUUUCUGGUGGGAUAAAGCUCCAGAACAAUUUCAGAAGAGUCAUUAUGUUCUUCUGUCCUGGUACCUAAGGAGAAAUGCUUUCACCAGGGAAUCCAGAUGUUCCAUUAAGAGAAGGACACAGACCAAAUGGAACGCCAGAACUUACAGAUCCAGAAGUUCUCACUUUCAGAUGGAGAUUCAUUCUGAAGAAAUGGGAAGACCCAAGCUUUUCUAUAUGGAGGAAUGCCAUGAUCCACCAUCACAACCAUGAUUCCCUGAGAAAGGGAAAGAAAAUGGUAUCUUAGACUCUGACCACAAGAGCUGAAAUACUGGGAUACUCAAGUUUUAAAGGCUUCACGUGCCACAUAAACAUACUAGUGGCUAUUGUAUCACUCUGCUGUUAGAAACACUAAAUUAGCAUUCCAUGGAGAAAAGAGACGCUGCGCUAACCACUUGCUCAUCCAGCAUCCAAACCCCAGCAAUAUGCCAGCCUCAGCCAUUGUCUGGCUGAAUCUACAUAAGCACCCAAGGACGGAACCACAAAAGUGAACAUUUUUUGAAUCCUGGAUUCAGAAAAUCAAUGAGAGUUAAUAAAAUAAAUGUUUUGUUUCGAGUCAUUAAAUUUUUAGGUAAAUUUUAGGUACAAUAAUACCUAACUGGACAGAAAUGCAAUACUUGGAAGUAAGGAUCGGUGUAACAAAAACAUACAAAAUAUGGCAUUGGCUUUGAAACCAAAUGGUUGGUGAAUGUUAAAAAGACUUGAGGAUACUGUUGGUAAACACUUGGAGGUCAGAGAUGAAAGUGUAUGAGACAAGAAAUGAAAUAAGACAUUAAAAAUAUUUAUAGUGUUUUCUUAUCAGUUAUCGGGGUAAGAAGUUGAUAUAAUAACUAUCUCUGAUGUUAAUGGAUGGUUUAAUACAUACUGUAAUUUAAUUUUAAAGUUUUAUUGAGAAAUAAUUUAUAUACAAUAUAAUUUACCAAUUUCAAGUGCACAAUUUAAUAGCAUUUAGCAUAUUUGCAGAGUUAUGCAAACAUCACAAUAAUCUUAGUACAUUUUCAUCACUCAUAAAGAGAUCCUAUAGCCACUAACAGUCACUCUCCAUUUCCUACCCCUAGUCUUAGGCAACCACUGAUCUAACUAUACUUAUUGAUUUGCCUAUACUGAAUAUUUUGUGUGAAUAAAAUAAUACAAUAUGUGGUGUUUUACACUUGGCUUCUUUGACAUAGAGCUUUUUAUUUAAUAUUGGACCAUGUGGUAACAUCAGUACUUCAAUCUAUUUUAAUGUCAAAAAUAUUUUGUCAUAUGGUUAUACUGCAUUUUCCUUAUCCAUUCUUCAAUUGAAGGGCAUUUUGGUUAAUCCUACUUUUGGGCCACUGUAUAUAUAUAUUUUAUUUCUCACAGGCAUAUACCUAGGACUGGCACGCUGGCUCAUGGAUGCCAUACUCUGAGUUUAUCAGUAACCGCUAUCUAUUUUCCAAAGCGGCUGCUCAAUUUUAUAAUCCCAGUACCAAUGUAUAAGUGUUGAUUUCUCUGUUUCCUUGCAAAAUUAGUAAUUGUGAGCCCUUCAACUUGUUAAUCAUUUUUAAGAUUAUUUUGAAUCUGGCACCAUCCAUUGCAUUUCUAAAUUAAUUUAAGGGUCAGCUUGUUAAGUUCUGCAAAAAAAAAAAAAAAAAAAAAGAAAAGAAAAGAAAAAGAAAAGAAAAGAGAAAGUCUUUAUAGGGAUUGAAUUUGUAUAUGAAUAACGUUAAGUCCUCCAAUCAAUGAAUAUUGCUACUUUCCAGUUAUUUAAAUCUUAAAUGUUCCCUACCUGAUAGCGCCACAGUGGGUGCGACCUGGGCCAUGUACAUAAUCAUCCUGAGCUUCAGAAAUAACAAUGGUUUUAGCUGGGUUUUGUUGGACUGCUUAUUUCCUGAUGCCCCCAUUAAACUUUUGGCUGAUCUGUCUCUAUUAGUAUGACACUCAGACUUUUUGUCUCUAUUAAUUAAUUGCCGGCAAAUGACUGUAUUAUUUUCAAAAACAUCCUAGGAUGUUCCAUAUGUCGUUUCAGUCUGACCCCCCACCCCCCCAAAAAAAACUGAGCCUCUUGGCAGGGAUAGAGUAUUGCUAUGCUUUGAUAGUUGUUCUGGUCCUCCCUUGGACAACAACUAUGCACUAUGAAGGUUUAGUCUGGAUUAAAUUUGCAUCAAAGAUCUCUACAAUGCAGGAGAAAAAUACACCACCCACACUGAUAUUUCCUUCCUUCAAAUAAAAGAGUGAAAGUUAUCAUAGUUAUGUGCAUUCAGUUUUUUGCAUAUUAAUGUUUUGAUAAUAACUUGAAGAUUUAAUUUACUUCU